rnacentral:rRNA from 1 species
AUUGAACGCUGGCGGCAGGCUUAACACAUGCAAGUCGAGCGGAGAUGAGGUGCUUGCACCUUAUCUUAGCGGCGGACGGGUGAGUAAUGCUUAGGAAUCUGCCUAUUAGUGGGGGACAACAUUCCGAAAGGAAUGCUAAUACCGCAUACGUCCUACGGGAGAAAGCAGGGGAUCUUCGGACCUUGCGCUAAUAGAUGAGCCUAAGUCGGAUUAGCUAGUUGGUGGGGUAAAGGCCUACCAAGGCGACGAUCUGUAGCGGGACUGAGAGGAUGAGCCGCCACACUGGGACUGGGACACGGCCCAGACUCCUACGGGAGGCAGCAGUGGGGAAUAUUGGACAAUGGGGGGAACCCUGAUCCAGCCAUGCCGCGUGUGUGAAGAAGGCCUUAUGGUUGUAAAGCACUUUAAGCGAGGAGGAGGCUACUGAGACUAAUACUCUUGGAUAGUGGACGUUACUCGCAGAAUAAGCACCGGCUAACUCUGUGCCAGCCGCCGCCGUAACAC